rnacentral:rRNA from 1 species
AUUGAACGCUGGCGGCAUGCCUUACACAUGCAGGUCGAACGGUAACAGGUCUUCGGAUGCUGACGAGUGGCGAACGGGUGAGUAAUACAUCGGAACGUGCCCGAUCGUGGGGGAUAACGAGGCGAAAGCUUUGCUAAUACCGCAUACGAUCUACGGAUGAAAGCGGGGGAUCUUCGGACCUCGCGCGGACGGAGCGGCCGAUGGCAGAUUAGGUAGUUGGUGGGAUAAAAGCUUACCAAGCCGACGAUCUGUAGCUGGUCUGAGAGGAUGAUCAGCCACACUGGGACUGAGACACGGCCCAGACUCCUACGGGAGGCAGCAGUGGGGAAUUUUGGACAAUGGGCGAAAGCCUGAUCCAGCCAUGCCGCGUGCAGGAUGAAGGCCUUCGGGUUGUAAACUGCUUUUGUACGGAACGAAAAGCCUCUUUCUAAUAAAGAGGGGUCAUGACGGUACCGUAAGAAUAAGCACCGGCUAACUACGUG